rnacentral:rRNA from 1 species
AUUGAACGCUGGCGGCAGGCUUAACACAUGCAAGUCGAGCGAGCGGCGGACGGGUGAGUAAUGUCUGGGAAACUGCCUGAUGGAGGGGGAUAACUAUUGGAAACGGUAGCUAAUACCGCAUACCAUCAGAUGUGCCCAGAUGGGAUUAGCUAGUCGGUGGGGAAAUGGCUCACCUAGGCGACGAUCCCUAGGUGGUCUGAGAGGAUGACCAGCAACUCUGGUAAUGAGACACGGGCCAGACUCCGACGGGAGGCAGCAGUGGAGAUUAUUGGACAAUGAGCACAAGCGUGAUGCAGCCAUGCGGGGUGUGUGAAGAAUACCUUCGGGUUGGAAAGCACUUUCAGCGAGGAAGCGUUACUCGCAGAAGAAGCACCGGCUAACUCCGUGCCAGCCGCCGCGGUAAUAC